rnacentral:rRNA from 1 species
GCGCGUAAAUUGCCCGAAUCCUGACACAGGGAGGUAGUGACAAGAAAUAACAAUACAGGGCUACUUUAGUCUUGUAAUUGGAAUGAGUACAAUUUACAUCUCUUCACGAGGAUCAAUUGGAGGGCAAGUCUGGUGCCAGCAGCCGCGGUAAUUCCAGCUCCAAAAGCGUAUAUUAAAGUUGUUGCAGUUAAAACGCUCGUAGUCGGAUUUCGGGGCGAGCCUGCCAGUCUGCCGAUGGGUAUGCACUGGCAGGGUCGUCCUUCCUUCCGGAGACUGUCCCUACUCUUAACUGAGCGGGGUCGGGAGACGGAUCGUUUACUUUGAAAAAAUCAGAGUGUUUCAAGCAGGCAGCUCGCUCUUGCAUGGAUUAGCAUGGGAUAAUGAAAUAGGACUUUGGUGCUAUUUUGUUGGUUUCGAACACCGAAGUAAUGAUUAACAGGGACAGUCAGGGGCACUCGUAUUCC